GGAGGGAUGCUAUGUGAGCUAUAAAAAAGAAAUCAUUCGAUAAUUAGGCUUCGCGAUGAAAUCGGGACGAUCAGAGUUCUUCGGAGGUUGGACUUCGCUGCCCAUCGCCGUAUCUUUAUCAUUUGAGAAACAUUUCAAAUCGGAUGGGUGUGUAGUUCUAUUUUACACUGUCCAAUAAAAAUCGGACUCAUAACUA